GGAAGCAAAUAGAAAAACACAUGAGGUUUUUUCAGCACUUCAUAGUUUUUUGACAUCGAAAUAAUUUCUUCUAUGCCAUUGUCAGUGUAUCACCUCCACACUUCCCAGAGCUACAAAUCUAAACUCAUGCUCUAUCUUGGCCCUGGUAUUUUGAUUCCAUUCUGACCACCAGGGAUCUGAAUGCUGCUCAGCUCCAUGCAAGAUAACAUAUUUAUCAGCAUAUGACACGCACAUUUAACUCCUGAAAAGCUUUCUGUUAAAGACGGAAGAAAGAGUGAAGAUAAUGUUGAAGAUAAAGUUCUUAAAGGGUCCCAGUAGGUUGCAGUUUGCGCAGUCCUCCUUGAUAUAUCAAUCCCCCUUCAAAUCACAGUGUCCCUUUCACAGUCACGUUCUAAAGGUAUGAGGUGUCAUUUUUGUACGAAUUUUUAAAUUGAACUUUUAGGUGUAUUACAUGAAAAUGCCUAUGUGUAAAUAGGGUACAUGAUGAUAAUGGAGUUAGUGCUGUGUCCUGUUUCUUCCCAGAUCAUGCACUUACCCUGAGGAGGAGCAAUGGUCCUGCCAGAAGCCGAUGCUGGAGGGUCUUGAAUGCAGCUUUCUGUUAAAGACGGAAGAAAGAGUGAAGAGUCAAGCUCUAUGAUUUUGACCCCUGCUGCUGAAUCCAGGGACAUCCUCUGCCAGAAGGACAUCUCUUAGCUCCGCCCUCCCACUCUCGCAACUUGAUAGGCUUUCCUCGGUUUUGUCCUAGUCGAAGCCUCUGCAUCUUCUUUGUAACCGUUGCCCGACAAUCAUAGAACCUGCAAAUGUACAUAAACAUUACAAUUACAUUAAUAAAAAAACAAAUACUUAGAUUAAUGUUUUUUGAAAACCACAUUUCUUUUCACAUUGUGAUGGUUAUAUGUAUACUGUUCAGCAUGUGGCUGUGACAAAUAAAUUUUUUGGUUACGUUGAACUGUUA